rnacentral:rRNA from 1 species
UGGGGAAUAUUGGACAAUGGGCGGAAGCCUGAUCCAGCAACGCCGCGUGAGGGAUGACGGCCUUCGGGUUGUAAACCUCUUUCAGUACCGACGAAGCGAAAGUGACGGUAGGUACAGAAGAAGGACCGGCCAACUACGUGCCAGCAGCCGCGGUAAUACGUAGGGUCCGAGCGUUGUCCGGAAUUAUUGGGCGUAAAGGGCUCGUAGGCGGUUUGUCGCGUCGGGAGUGAAAACAGCGGGCUUAACUCGUUGCUUGCUUUCGAUACGGGCAGACUAGAGGUAUGCAGGGGAGAAUGGAAUUCCUGGUGUAGCGGUGAAAUGCGCAGAUAUCAGGAGGAACACCGGUGGCGAAGGCGGUUCUCUGGGCAUUACCUGACGCUGAGGAGCGAAAGUGUGGGGAGCGAACAGGAUUAGAUACCCUGGUAGUCCACACCGUAAACGUUGGGCGCUAGGUGUGGGGUCCUUUCCACGGAUUCCGUGCCGUAGCUAACGCAUUAAGCGCCCCGCCUGGGGAGUACGGCCGCAAGGCUAAAACUUAAAUGAAUUGACGG